rnacentral:tRNA from 1 species
GUUCGGGUGGCAGAGACCGGUAUUAAUGCAAAAGUCUUAAGCUCUUUCCACAGGGGUUCAAGUCCCCUCCCUAACU